rnacentral:rRNA from 1 species
GACGAACGCUGGCGGCGUGCUUAACACAUGCAAGUCGAACGGUGAAGCGCCUUCCUUUUUGGUGGGUGUGGAUGAGUGGCGAACGGGUGAGUAACACGUGAGUAACCUGCCCCCUUCUUCUGGAUAACCGCAUGAAAGUGUGGCUAAUACGGGAUAUUCUGGGUCUGUCGCAUGAUGGGUCUGGGAAAGAUAUUGUUUCGGUGGGGGAUGGGCUCGCGGCCUAUCAGCUUGUUGGUGGGGUGAUGGCCUACCAAGGCGGUGACGGGUAGCCGGCCUGAGAGGGUGGACGGUCACACUGGGACUGAGACACGGCCCAGACUCCUACGGGAGGCAGCAGGGGGGAAUAUUGCACAAGGGGCGCAAGCCUGAUGCAGCGACGCCGCGUGAGGGAUGGAGGCCUUCGGGUUGUGAACCUCUUUCGCCAGUGAAGCAGGCCUGCCUCGUUUGUGGGUGGGUUGACGGUAGCUGGAUAAGAAGCGCCGGCUAACUACGUG